rnacentral:tRNA from 1 species
UCCCUUGUGGCUGAGACGGUAAAGCGUCUGCCUACAAAGUGGGAGACCCAGGUUUGACCCUGGGUUGGGAA